CACAACUCUAGACACAAAAUAAAAUAAUACAAGCUUUAUAUUACAAGCCAUGGGCCUCGAGGGCUCGAAUACAUAAGCUCGAAAACACAAGAGUCAGCGGAAGCAACAUUAUCUGAGUACAGACAUGAGUUAAAAAGGUUUGCCUUAAGAAGGCUAGCACAAAAGCAACAUUGAUCGAAAAGGCAAGGCCUCCUGCCUGGGAGCCUCCUAACUACUCCUGGUCGUCGGCGGUCUCCAUGUAGUAGUAGGCAUCGGCGGUGGCAUCUGGCUCCUGGGCUCCGACAUCUGGUUGCAUCAACCGGAAAGAAGAAGAAAGGGGAAAAGGGGGAGCAAAGCAACUGUGAGUACUCAUCCAAAGUACUCGCAAGCAAGGAUCUACACUACAUAUGCAUCGGUAUCAAUGAAAAGGGUUGUAUCUAUGGACUGGACUGCAGAAUGCCAGAAGAGAAGGGGAAAGCCUAGCCUAUCAAAGACUACCAUCUUCUGGAAACCACCAUCUUGCAGCAACAGGAGGGAGUAGAGUAGCAUAAAGUAAAGUAGUAGAAGUGUUAUCAACCUCGGCCAGAGAUCCUUUCUCGACUCCCUGCGAGAAAGCAAUCCCAGAGCCAUACUAUCCAUUUCUCAUAUCCAAGUCUCAUCUCAAGUAUCCAGUUCUAGUUGUAUCGAUCGGGAUACAACUCCAAGUGUCCAUUACCGUAGGACAGGCUAUUGAUAGAUGUUUUCUUCCCUGCAGGGGUGCACCAACUUACCCACCACGCUCGAUUAACUCCGGCCGGACACACUUUCCUGGGUCAUGUCCGGCCUUGGCCAAACAAUACGUCGCAACCCGACCUAGGCUUAAUAGAGAGGUCAGCACGCUGGACUAAACCUAUGCCCCCAGGGGUCAUGGUCCAUCGCCCCGGGAACUCCUACACGUUGCGUGGGCGACCGGUGAGCAGACCUAGCUACCUCCUUAAAAAAAGGCAGGAGCUUACCAGUCCAACCUGGCGCGCGCCGCUCAGUCGCUAACGUCUAAUAAGCUUCGGCUGAUGCAUACGACGCAGAACGCCCAUACAAUGCCCACGUGAUGGUUAGUGCUAUCAGGCCAGAGGCCCCUCGGAUCAAAUAUCCAAAUCAUAGUGGAUUAGGAGCACGCGGUAACAAGCAGAGACUCACGAAAGAUGUGACCCCAUUGCCCCGUCUCGAGGACUUGCGGCAAGGGCUAGGAAUGCCCGGCCACGCCUCGUAAUUAUCUCGCGGGCCCCCUCCAGGUCAACCCGUCUCCACAUCACUCGCGGCUACCCCGCAGGGUCGACCCGCCCUUCCAAGUAAUAGUUGUGUUGGGUGGUAGGUGCGACAUAUGCCAACGGGUGGCUUAUCAUUGUGGGAGCCAGUAAGACGUCACCGGUGCCUGGAAACGGGAUGAGGCAAAGACAUGCACACCGGCGAAUCUUACCCAGGUUCGGGGCUCUCCGUGGAGAUAACACCCCUAGUCCUGCUCUGCGGGGUCUCCGCAUGAUCACUAGAUCGAAAUGAGUAACUACAAAUGCUCCUUGAGCUAUCGGGUUAGAGGGAGAAGAAGGGCAAGGCUAGAUCUCCUUUUCUCUCUAUGUGGUGUGUGAAAUUCUAUGAGACCAACCCUUUGCAUGGGUCCCCCGGGGGGUUUAUAUAGGCCUACCCCGGGGGGUACAAUAGUAAUCCGGCUGGGCGCGGGUCCCAGCCGUCAGUGUCUGGGUUCGCCGGCUUCUCCGCCGGCCAUUGGGGCCCGCCGACUGGUGGGUCCCGCCGGCUGCCGGCUUCUUGGUCGACAGGCCGGCCCCACUGCUUGGGGGUCUUGUCGGCGGCGGGUUACUGUUGCCUCGCCCCUGAUGACGAGGGCUUUGUCGAGGUAAGCAUGGCUACAGCGUAGCCGCCUUGCAAGCUCUCACUGUAGCCUUACCUCGUCUUGUCUCCUUAAUGUGGCACAUGUUUCUAGGUAGGGGACAGCCGGCUCCUGGGGGCCAGCUACGCCCCUGGCCGACUAGGGGAAGCCGGGCCGCCUUCGUGCGUCUCUGUGGCUAAAGGGGCCCGCGGGCCGUACUGGUGUCUGUCAUGGAUGACGUUGAGGCCAACAUGGCUACAGUGCCGUGUCGGACGGGAGAUGGCUGACCCGUACGGCGUCCUGUGGCCAUGCCUGCUCUGGGAUUCGGGGGUAGUGGGCCGUACUGCGACCACGCCCCGUCUUAUCACCGUUAUGUGGACACAGUCUUGGUGGGUGCAGUCUUGGCCGGCUUCUGGGAGUCGGCGCUCUUCAUGGCCGGCUUCCUGGAGUCGGCCACCUCGUAGCUUUCUUGGGGAAGGUUUCUGGGGCUGGGUCGCCUUCUGGGAGUCGGCCCUGGGGAUAGCCGGCCGGGGGAAGGCGGCCCUAUACUUCGUUUGCUCGAAGGCUUAAAUGCCCUGAUAAUUUCUUGAGGAGCCAGGGGGAGUCAGUUAGGCUACCCGUGGCCAUUUACUCCGACAGUAGUCCCCGAAGCUGAUUGGGCUUCGAGGUUGGGUGGAAGUUGAGAAGUUCGGUCAGCUUCCUAUCUUGACAAGCCGGCAGUUGGGAGCCGGCUUCGGCUGGGCGCGCCGUCUUGGCGAAAAAAUUUGAAGUCGGAGGGCGGGAGUUUGCUGGCGCGCGCACUGGGCUGCGGGCCGGCCUCUCGCCGCCUGCGAACCACGUGGCAUCCCUUGGCUAAAAAUCCUGCCAGCCCACGCGCGCGACGAGACGUCGCCGCAGGUCGGGGGCCCACCACUCCUACGCCCGGGCCCAGGCGCGGAUUCUCUGCGGCCCAAAGCCGCCCGCACGCCUUCCUCCGGCAGUUUCGGCACGCCUUUAGGGCACAGUAAUCGCUGGGCGGGGGGGGGAGUGGGUGCAGUUAAUCCCACGUCCCACCCCACGCCUCGCCUCCUCGGCUUCGCCGUGUGAAGCUAUAAGUAGGGGCAGGGGGAAGCGGCAGGCGCUCACACGCCCCUCUCCUCUCCGCCAUCUUCUUCCUUCUGCUCUUCCUCACAACAGCGUCUCGCCGCCGCACCGUUCCACCACUCUUUUCCCCGCCGUCGCGCUCGUUCUCGCCAGCCUUACGCCGCGAUGCAGUACAGUGGGGACUGGGACGGCUCCAACAUCCAUGAGGAUCACGUCGAGUUCCUCCGCAAGACGCAGCGGCUGCCCGGCGCGGACAAGGUGCGGGUCCGUCUCGCGCCAGAGAAGGAGAUCACGCCGGAGCCGGAGGAAGGCGAGCGGGUGGUCUUCCGCUCGCAUUUCUUGCGCGGCAUCGGCCUGUCGGCGAGCGCCUUCUUCCGCUCCGUUCUUGAAUUCUACCAACUCCAGCCGCGCCACCUCAGCCCGAACACGGUGGUGCUGCUGUCCGCCUUCGUCACCUUGUGCGAAGGCUACCUCGGCGUCCUCCCCACCCUCGAGCUCUGGGGGGAGUUCUUCCAGUCCAAGCUGGGCACACGUAUGUAGGGCAUGCCGGCUCAGAGUGGUGCCUUCAUCGCGAUGCGGAGGGUGACAGCCGACAACCCCUUCCCCAUCAUCACGCUGAUCCAGUCGGUGAAGCUCUGGCAGAAGUCAUACUUCUAUGUGAAGAACAUCGCCCCACAAGGCGACUACGUCAAUUUGCCGGCUUACGAAGCUGGCCCACCGGCGGGCAGGCGGCCCUAGUGGUCCUAUCGGGCCGUGACGCUGACGCCGGCUGGAGCCGCGGCUGUCGCCCGACUACGGGUGAUGAUCCAGUCGGAGGGUCUAUCGGGGCCCGACCUGCUGGCCGCCUUCGUCACACGCUGGGUGCUUCCGCUCCAGAGCCGCCCUCAUCUGAUCUGUCAGAUGAGCGGCCAGCUCGAUCCGAGUCGGAUGUGCACCAAAGACAUGCCGCACGACGAAGUGGCCCACAUGGUGAACUACCUUGCGAACUGCAAGCUCUCCGCAGAGUGGCAGUUUGGCAAGGAGCCAUAUUGCCGAGCUCACCCGCCGCCCACGGUAUGUUCUCUUUUUCCCUUUCUCCUCUCUCAGUUUUGUCGCCGAGUUCCUUUUGGCGGACUCUAACUAGUCGGCUUGUCUCGACAGAGCCCUCUUCUUCGGCCUGCAGGCGGGUCGGACGCGGAGCGCCGAUUCGUCCCCGACCGGGCGGAGCACGAUCUGGAGGACCCCGACUUGGGGGCGGCCGCCAUGGAUGACAACACCGAAGCGGGCGGUGGCCAAGCCGGCGGCGAGGCAGGCGGCUCCGGGCUUGGAGUCAGCUUCGACGACUGGCCGGAUGAUGACGAGGCGGAAGUCGUCCCACGCCGCCAGCCGGCGCCUGGCCACGGCACGGGUUCCUCCGCCGCGCCGCCUGCUCGGGGCGGCGGGCAAAAGCGCCGUGCCGCGCCGGGCUUGUUCGGCAGUCAGCCGAAGAAACCCAGAGGCGGGGCAGCGGCGACCAGGCGGGAGGAGGCGGCCCGCUUCCGCAAGGCGGUGAAGCAGCCGCAGACGGUGUCGGCGUAAGUAUAUACUCCUUCGUGUAUUCUAUUUUUUCUUUUCUCUGGUAGUUCCUGAAUCCUUGUCCUUUCUCAAAAAACCAGGGCUCCAUUGUCGCUUGAGCGGGUUGCUGCCGCCUCCGUCGUUGGGUCGCCGGGAGGAUCCGGGAGCACCACUCCCCGCGUGGACCCCCGUGUCGAUCUUCAGGCGGCGACGGAGCGGAAUGCGCGGGAGGCGCGGGAGGAGCGGGGGGCGCGGGAGGCGGAGGCAUUGAGGGCGGGCGCUGCCAAGGCGGCGCAGGAGGAGGAGGCGGCGAAGGCGUGCGCCGACGCCGCGGCCAAGGCCCAAGCGGAGGCUGCGGCGAUGGCGGAGGGGGCCUUGCUAGUCACCCCACUGCGCGUCGCGGCGCCUGGGGCCCCAGAGCCCUCGCCAGAAGAAGCCGGCGGUGACCAGCCGGGGCUGGAGAGGGAGGACGACGUCGUCAUCCUGGAGAGGGUCGCGGCACCGGCCCCGCCGACUAGGGCGACUCAAGGCGGCCGGCCUAACCUGCCGCAUGUGCAAUCGGGGGAGCGAGCCGGCCGCGAGGACUGAUCUGGUGGUCCGGACGCCGUCGCACCAGCGCGCGGGGAAGGCCGCAUCAGAGCCGCAGAAGGCUGCAUCGGAGCCGCAGCCGGCCGCGGGCUCCAGCUCGUCGGCCCAGGAUAUGGAGGCGGCCAGCGCCAGCUCGGGGUGGACGCGAGGCGGAGGGACGGCCGUGAUGAAUGUGGUCGCGCAGGACGUCCGGACCCGGCUUCAAGCCCAGUCUACGGCGCUGAGGAAGUACAACGACGAGUUCCUUGCGACGCGGGCGGCCAUCCGGGUUAGUCUUCUUGUCUUUGCUUUUUUUAUCUUGGUUUCUUCCGUGGGGGGCGCGUGAGCGCACCCACUGGGUGUAGUCCCCGAGUUUCGAGUCGGCUGCUGAGCAGGCGGCUUGGAACUUCCUAGCGGAUCUUGUUUUGCUAUUCUUGCUCUUAUUUCGCUCUUCUGCCUGACUUGCAGGACUACCACAACCUCCGCGCGGCUGCCUUCAACUCCCAGGCUCGGGAGCUGACCUAGAAGACUGCUGACCUAUCUGAGAGCCGGGGUAAGUGCUUCAUCUUUUAUCUCACGUGGGGGCGCGUAAGCGCACCCACUGGGUGUAGUCCCCGAGAUUCGGGCCGACUACUGAGGAGUCGGGUCGGAUCUUCCUUGACGACUUCUUCUUAUUGCUUCCUUUUUCUCUGCCAUCCCUGCAGCGGCCAACGCCAGUCUAAGGGAGCAGCUGGGAGGGUCUCAGGCCGCCCUCCGUGCUAAGGAGGCCGAGUUUGCCGCCUUGGCGCAGGAGCGUGACCGCCUGGCCAAGAGGUUGGCAGACCAGGAGGAGAGCCACAAGGCGGCCCUGAAGGCGGUGCAGGACAGCGAGGCCGCCCUCCAGGCCGAGUACGAGAUAGAGGCGGCUAGCUGGGCCGAAGCGAAGCAGAAGCUGAUCAGUGGCUAUGGCCAGAUCGAAGAUUUGGUUGACGGUAAGCCGCCUUCUUCUUCGUCCUUGCUUGCCGCUUGCCGUUUUGGCUCGUUUUCUGACUUGGUGUUUUUCUCUUCUUUCUCUUUCUUUCUUGCGCAGAGUACUUCCCUGGCUACUCUACCGCCGCCAACCAGAUCUUCGAGGCCCGCCGCGAGGCACAGAGGCAGGCUGGCGCCGAGAUUGCGCCAAACGCUCGCUGGUCGCUGCAGGAGCAGCUCUUGGCGAUCCAGGCCCGCCUCCAGCCGGCUCAUCGCCUGCUCCGCCGGCUUCUACGUGUCGGGGCGCAGGUGUUGGCCGCUCUCUGGCCUGGUGAAGUGAUUCCCCGCACCCCCAGUCGGACUGCCGACUGGCUGGAGGUGGCGGUCGGCCGCUUCGAGGCCUGGAAGGCUUCGGCGGCUCGGUCCGGUGCCAGGCGGGCGCUGGAGUUCGUCAAGGCCUGGUAUCCCGGGCUGAGUCUGGACAAGCUGGCCCCCUGGCGGCAGCAGGCCGACACGGAGCUGGAGCCGGCGCGGCCGGCUAUCAUCCGGCGGGCUUCAGCGAUCGCCGACUACACCGACACCAGCACCUUCACUCCUGAGGUGGACGACAACGAUGUUGCCCAGCCGGAGAAAUGGUUCGGGCUGAACCCGGCAGACGGCGAAGACUCGGCAGAGGAGAUCGACUCCAGCGACGAGGGCGAAGAGGAGGAGGAGGAGGGUGAAGAUGCCGGGCCAGAUGGUGGAGCGGUCGGUCAGCCUCAGCUUGAUCGUGCCUCCAGCAACACGGCACGCGCGGGUGCACCACCUGCAGCCGGCGAUGAUCAAGCCGAGACCCGCUAGCCGGCCACUCCUCCAGCUGGUGGCGCCGUCUCCACCGACUAACCCGGCUCCCACACCGCGCCUUUAGUCUAGUCUACUAUCUUUAUUUUCCUGUCUCGUCACUUUUGGAACAAUAUUUUGUUAAGUUUGCACAAUUCCACCCACCGGGGUGUAUUCGAACUAUGUUGAUUGCCGGCCUGUUGGGGGCUUUAUAUGUAGAUAUGAUUAUGCAUGCGUUUAGCUUUCCCUUGUUCUUUGCUUUUAAUCCUUCUGCUAUUUCCUUUGCCGCCCUCCCUUGGUUGCCGCCUCCCCAGUCGGACAGUUGCUCUGCAAUCUAUGGCUGGAGAAGUGCUUGGCAAGUUGGGAGGGCAAGUACUCUAGCUUUGUUGGAUUAUAGCGAAGUGUUUGGGAAGCCGGCCAGCCGGCUGUUCUGACAGCCGGCAAGCGUGGUUGGGGGUCGUCUUUUCGCUAUACAAGUUCAUUAGUCCUUAGCCGUUUUUCGUGUGGGCAUCCUUUCUGCCUUGGCUCUUGCUAGUCGGACAGUCGGUUCUUCGAGCUGCGACUUUCAACGAGAGAGGACUCGGGAGCCGGCACACUACUUGUCUGACUUCGGGUAGAACUUUAAUAUAACUUAAGGCGGCCAGUCCCCGGGCCGACUAGUCGAACCCGGUGCCAGACAGAAAAUCAAAUGUAAUAAUACAUUCAUGGAUAUGACACUCGUCAUUCAUAGAUAAAUGAAGGCAGUCCCCGAGUGCCCCUCGGGGGGCCUGUUGUUUCGUACUUAAUACAAAAGGGUAGCAUGAUACAUACUGCUUUUAACUGUAAAAUCUUCUCAGGAGGUUCACGUUCCAUGGUCGCUCCGACUCCUUGCCAGAAUCAUCCCUCUUGCGUGCUCUUGGUUUUUGCGCGUCGAUCAGGUAGUAGGAGUCGUUGCCUAGUGCCUUGCUGACGACGAAAGGGCCUUCCCAAGGGGCCGAGAGCUUGUGCUGGCCGGCUGUUCGCUGGAUCAGCCGGAGCACAAGGUCGCCCUCUUGGAAAGAUCUUGGCUUGACCUUGCGGUUGUGGUAACGACGCAACCCCUGCUGGUAGAUGGCGGACCGGCUGAGUGCCAACAGUCGGCCUUCUUCCAGCAGGUCGACGCCAUCUUCUCGCGCUUCCUUGGCCUCCGCCUCCGUGUACAUGGUGACCCAAGGCAAGUCGAACUCGAUGUCGGUUGGGAUGACAGCCUCGGCGCCAUAUACAAGGAAGAACGGAGUGAAGCCGGUUGACUUGUUCGGUGUAGUACGCAGACUCCAGGAUAGCCGGCAGCUCAUCGAGCCAGCAGCCGGCCAAUCGCUCCAGUGGUACGACCAGUCGGGGCUUGAUGCCAGAGAGGAUGAGUCCAUUUGCUCGCUCGACCUGGCCAUUUGACUGCGGGUGGGCAACGGACGCUAAGUCCAGUCGGAUACCCUGCGUCGCGCAGAAACGUGCCAGUGCUCCUUUGGCAAAGUUUGUGCCAUUGUCGGUGAUGAUGCUGUGCGGCACGCCAUACCGAGUAGUGAUGUCGGUGAUGAACAUCACGGCAGUCGGCCCGUUCAGUUUCUUGAUCGGCUUUGCUUCGAUCCACUUGGUAAAUUUGUCCACGGCGACAAGCAAAUGUGUCAAGCCGCCGCGGGCUGUCUUGAAUGGACCCACCAUGUCCAGUCCCCAGACGGCAAAGGGCCAGGUGAGGGGGAUGGUCUUGAGUGCAGAAGCCGGCAGGUGUUGCUUGGAACUGAAGACUUGGCAUCCUUUGCAGCUCUUGACUAUCUCUUUGGCAUCUGCCAACGCAGUCGGCCAAAAGAAACCGUGGCGGAAAGCUUUGUCCACAAGUGAUCUUGAGGCUGCGUGGUGGCCGCAUUCGCCUUGAUGGAUAUCCUUGAGGAUUGCCACACCUUUCUCUGGCUUGACGCAGCGCUGGAAGACUCCAGUGACACUGCGCUUAACAAGUUCUUUGUUUAUUAGUGCAUAUGCUCCGGCUCGUCGUUGCACUAGUCUUGCUGAGAUCUCAUCAGCUGGAAGCUCUCUGUUGACUAGGAAUUUGAGGAUGGGCUGGGCCCAUGAUGGAGCUGUGACUUCUUCUACUGUCAGUAUAGCCACCAUGACUCAGGUGGGUGGGUCGGGUGGCGUGGAAUUGGAGUCGGCCACCGCUUCUUGUGUUGUUGCAGUCCCCGGGCCGACUGCUGCAGUCCCCGGGCCGGGUUCUGAAGUCCCCGAGCCGGGUGUGACUACGGCAGUCCCCGGGCCGGUUGUGGAAGUCCCCGUGCCGCCUGCUAGGUUCCUCCAGUCGGAUCCGGCUGCAUCGGGGGCAGGCGGUACGAAGAUAGAGUCCGACUCUGGAGACGGCUUGAUGGACGGCUUGAGGAGGCGCUGGAGAGAGACACCGGUCGGUAUAGCCUGUCGGGUGGAGCCGAUCCGCGCCAGGGCAUCUGCUUGGUCGUUGUCGGCCCGUGGUACGUGAAGGAACUCGCACCCUUCGAAGCACCCACUGAUCUGCUGGACGAGGAAUCGAUAGCUCGCCAUGUUUUCAUCCUUGGCGUCCCAGUCGCCAGAUGACUGCUGGACCACCAAGUCUGAGUCGCCAUAGCACAGGAUCCGGUGUAUGCCGAGCUCUUUGGCCAGCCGGAGCCCCUGUAUGAGUGCCUCGUACUCGGCCACGUUGUUGGAGGCGGCGAAGUGGAUUUGCAGCGUGUAUCUGAGUUUGUCGCCUUUGGGAGAGGUGAGGAUGAUGCCGGCUCCCAAGCCGGUGCGCAUCUUGGACCCGUCGAAGUGCAUCCGCCAAUGGGUAGAGUCGGGAGCUGGCGGUAAAUACUGGGUCUCGGCCCAGUCGACGAGGAAGUCGGCCAAUGCUUGGGACUUGAUGGUGGUGCGGGGUUGGUAGAAGAUUGUGUAGGGUGCCAGCGCAAUGGCCCAUUUAGCCACCUGGCCGGAUGCAUCCCGGCUGCCUAUGAUCUCGGCAAGAGGGGCGGUGCACACGACCGUGAUGGGAUGCUCUUGGAAGUAGGGCUUCAGCUUCUUGGCGGCGAAGUACACCCCAUAGCACAUCUUCUGGUAGUGCGGGUAGUUUUGCUUUGAGCUGGAUAGUACUUCGCUUAGAUAAUACACCGGCCUCUGGACUAGCUGGGCUCGGCCUUCUUCCGGGCGCUGGACCAGGACAACUGUACUGACCACUCGGCUAGUCGCGGCAAUGUAGAGGAGCAUGGGCUCCUUCUCAGUCGGCGCCGCCAGGAUAGGUGGAGUGGUUAGCAUCUUCUUCAACUCAUGGAAGGCUUGGUCGGCCUGGUCAUUCCACUCGAAAUGAGUGGAUUUCUUCAUGAGUCGGUAUAGGGGGAGAGCCUUCUCUCCUAGUCGGCUGAUAAAGCGGUUUAAGGAGGCCAGGCACCCAGUGAACUUCUGCACAUCUCGCAAUCUGGUGGGAAUCUCCAUCUUCUCAAUGGCCUUGAUCUUCACAGGGUUGCACUCGAUGCCACGUUCGGAGACCAGAAAGCCUAGCAGCUGGCCGGCUGGUACUCCGAACACGCAUUUCUCGGGGUUGAGCUUGAUCUGGAAUCGGCGCAAGUUGGCAAAUGUUUCGUUGAGGUCCUCCAGCAGGGUGCCGCGCUUCUCUGUCUUCACCACAAUGUCGUCUACGUAGACGUGGGCAUUUCUGCCGAGUUGCUUGAGGAGGCAUUUCUGCAUGCAACGCUGAAAGGUGGCACCGGCAUUCCUUAAGCCGAAUGUCAUAGUCAGGUAACAGAAAGCUCCGAAUGGUGUGAUGAAGGCAGUCUUCAGGCGGUCUGCUGGGUCCAACUUGAUCUGAUGGUACCCUGAGUAGGCAUCCAAAAAACUCAACAGCUCGCAUCCGGCCGUGGAGUCUAUCACUUGGUCAAUCCGUGGCAAAGCAAACGGAUCUUUGGGGCAGGCCUUGUUGAGGCUGGUGUAGUCUAUACACAUGCGCCACUUGUUGUUCUUCUUCAAUACCAAGACUGGGUUGGCAAGCCACUCUAGGAAAAAUACUUCCAUAAUAAAGCCGGCGGCAAGGAGCCGGGCUAUCUCUUCUCCUACGAUUCUUUGCUUCUCUUCUGACAGUCGGCGGAGGGGCUACUUGACCGGCUUCGCGUCGGCUCGGACGUGUAAUUUGUGGUCGGCGAAAUCCUUCGGGACACCCGGCAUGUCUUUGGGGACCAUGCAAAGACAUCUCGAUUCUCACAGAGGAAGUCGACGAGCUCGCCUUCCUAUUUACUGUCCAGGUUUGCCCCAAUGACAGCAAACCUUUCCGGGUUCUCCGGGUCCAGAGGUAUCUUCUUCGUCUCCUUAGCCGGCUGGAAGGAGCCCUGCGCAUCAUAAUCUUUGGGGUUGGGAGAUAAGGCUGGCUGCUUGCCGGCCAUGGCCACAACUCUCUCCAGCCUCUUCUUCUCUUCCGCUACUACGAGGGACUCGGCCAGCCGACUGCUGGCUGCAGCGCAUUCGAUGGACUUCCUGUAGUCGCCGGCUACGGUGAUGAUCCCCUUCGAGCUCGGCAUCUUCAUCUUCAGGUAGGCGUAGUGGGGCACAGGCAUGAACUUGGCCAGAGCAGGUCGGCCAAGCAAGGCAUGGUAAGGGCUCUUCAGAUCCACUACCUCGAACCAGAUUGCUUCUCGGCGAAAGUGAUCUUUGUCUCCGUAGAACAUCCAUCUUGAUCUUGCCGAUCGGGGAACAGGACAAGCCGGGUACGAUGCCAUGGAACACGGUCCGGCUUGGCAUGAGCUGCUUCGCCUUGAUGUUCAGCUUCUCCAUGGUAUCGCGGUACAGUAUGUUGAUACUGCUUCCGCCAUCAAUCAGAACGCGGGAGAAUCGGGCAGCUCGCCUCUCCGUCGCGAGAGUGACAUCCAAUACUAAUGCGUAGGAGCCAGGGGACGGCAUCACCUCUGGGUGGUCGGCCUGGCUCCAGUUGAUGGGCUUCUCGGACCAGUGCAUGAACUCGGGGUUGCUGGAGGCGACUGCGUUGACCUCUUGGUGAUGUCGGCGCCGACUGCGCUUGUCUUCAACUUGGCUUGUGAAGACAACGUAGGCGGCGUCCUCUUCAGGGAACUCAUCUUGAAUGGCUCCGACCGCUGGUCGAGCCCCCGGCUGCUGGGGGGCUGGAGGCGGCGGGCCGGGAGGCGGAGGCGGCACCAGCCCCUCGCCCUUGGAGAUCCACGUGAGCCAGUAGCACUUUCGGGUCGUGUGGUUGGACGGCUUCGCGCCGCUGUGGAACUUGCAGGGGGCAUCGAGAGUCUGCUCGUAGGAGAAAGCCGGCCUGCCGCCCUUCUUCUUGGGAGCGGGCCGCUCUUCGGGCUGCUCAUCUUCAACCGUGGCCACCUGCUGACUGGUGGAAGGCGGCAUAGGGGCCUUGCGCUUGUGAUCGUUCUGGUAGGGGCGCCGAUUGGAGUCGCCAGCCGGCGUCUUGGGAGUCGGAGCGAUCACCUUCCCAGAGGCGUCCACUCGAAGCUCGGUCUUCAUCAAGGAGUCGGCCGUGGCGUACUUGUCCGCGAUGAUCAGCAGUUCGUCGAGGGUAGCCGGCUCGUCGCAGAGGAGUCGGUGCUUGAGGAGGGUGCCCUCUCGGCACCCGGCAGUGAAGUACUCGAUGGCCUGAACCUCGUGCACCCCCUCGCAGGAGUUGCGGAGCUCGGCCCACCAUGUGAGGUAGUCGUGGGUCGACUCGUUGGGCCCUUGGACGCAUAGGGAGAGUUGGCGCGGCUUGGGAGGCCGCUUGUACGUGCUGGUGAAGUUGCGGACAAAGACUUCCGUGAAGUCCAGCCAGCUGUUGACGCUGUAGGGCUUGAGGCUGUUGAGCCAGGUGCACGCCAUGCCUUGCAGCAUGAGGGGGACGUACUUCACGGCUACGCGCCGGUUGCCGUUGGCUAUACUGACAACAGUAGAGUAGUCGAUAAGCCAAUCUUCCGGCUUCAUAGAGCCGUUGUACUUGGGCGUGUCUCUGGGGAGCGAGAACCCUUUGGGGAAGGGCUCGUCGCGGAUGCGGGGGCCAAAGCAUGGCGGACCGACAUCGUCUUCUUCUUCUAGUACCAGGGAUCGAGCCAGGCGGUCGAUCCGGUGGCGGGCGUCGUUCUCGCCGACUCCUUCGCGGUGGCCUAGUCGUCCACCAAGGGUCGGGUGCGUGACAGGCGGUGGGGUGGGAUAUCUCCCUCCUCGAGGCGGGGGAGGAGGCGGAUUUCCUUGGCGCUCCACUGCUCAAGGGCGGCCUACCGCGUCGCGCUCGAUGGUGAUCCGAGUCUGGCUGCGGCUAGCAGCCGGCUCCUUGUCUUUCCUCGCGCGGGCACCGCCUGUAGUCGGCGACCGGGAUGUCGCGGCGUGCUCUCGGCGCGGGGGAGGACUCUCAGCGCGGGCGCCGGCUUCGUGCCGUUCUGCAGCCGCGUCGAUCAGCUGCUGGAUUCACCUUGUCAUGUAGGGGAGCUCAUCGGCUCCCAGCCCAUUUAGCUCUUCAGCGGCCGCCUGAGCGGCUCGCAGAUUCUCGAGCGGGGUGGUGUAGACGGGGCGGUCUGCCCCCAGCAUGCUGGCAAUAGCCGCGCCGCGCUUCUGGACGAAGCCGGCUCGGCUCGGCCCGCCAUGAGGCAGCGUGCCAAAGGCGGCGCGGUCGACUCGCACUGGUGAGCCUCGGUGAGGUGUCUCAUGGAGGCUAUCUUCUGGCCUUCCAUGAUGAGGGCGAGGCGGCACGCCUCCAGGGUCUCUGCAUCGGCGUCGGCCGGGAUGGGGACGGAUAAGUCGUGCAUCGCCGCUUGCAGGGCGUCAUGGGCGUUCUCGCCCGAGUUGGCGGCGUGGCUGAUGACCAGCACCUCCGUGACAGCACUGCUGCCGCUGUCAGCUCGGGGGAGAGGGUCAUCGAAGACUACCACAUCGGAGGGGUAGGCAUCGUGCGAUGCCGUGUCGGAGUCGACAAGCAUCAGGUCGGUGGAGCCAACCGACUCCAAGUCUACAGCAGGCUCGCAGGAGACGUGAAGUUGGUCGAGGAGGCUGACGAGGCGGCUCUCGGGGUAGUCCAUGCCCGCGUCGGACGCGGGCUCAUCGGAGAUGCGAGUCUCGCCGAGCAGAUCAGCGAGGCGGCUCGCUGCGCAGGCGUCAUCGACGCCUUGCAGCGCGUCGGGGCAAACGCCGUCGGGCGUAGCAGGCUGGUUGCGCUCGCGAGGGAGGAAAAGGGUUCCCGUCCAGAAUAGGUCUCCGGACAACGGUGGACCUGGCCCCACGGUGGGCGCCAAAUGUCAGGUGGUAGGUGUGACAUAUGCCAACGGGUGGCUAAUCAUUGUGGGAGCCAGUAAGACGUCGCCGGUGCCUGGAAACGGGAUGAGGCGAAGACAUGCACGCCGGCGAAUCUUACCCAGGUUCGGGGCUCUCCGUGGAGAUAACACCCCUAGUCCUACUCUGCGGGGUCUCCGCAUGAUCACUAGAUCGAAAUGAGUAACUACAAAUGCUCCUUGAGCUGUCGGGUUAGAGGGAGAAGAAGGAAAAGGCUAGCUCUCCUUUUCUCUCUAUGUGGUGUGUGAAAUUCUAUGAGACCAACCCUUUGCAUGGGUUCCCCGGGGGGUUUAUAUAGGCCUACCCCCCGGGGGUACAAUACUAAUCCGGCUGGGCGCGGGUCCCAGCCAUCAGUGUAUGGGUUCGCCGGCUUCUCCGCCGGCCAUUGGGGCCCGCCGACUGGUGGGUCCCGCCGGCUGCUGGCUUCUUGGUCGACAGGCCAGCCCCACCGCUUGGGGGUCUUGUCGGCGGUGGGUUACUGUUGCCUCACCCCUGAUGACGAGGGCUUUGUCGAGGUAAGGAUGGCUACAGCGUAGCCGCCUUGCGAGCUCUUACUGUAUCCUUACCUCGUCUUGUCUCCUUAAUGUGGCACAUGUUUCGAGGUAGGGGCAGCCGGCUCCUGGGGGCCGGCUACGCCCCUGGCCGACUACGGGAGGCCGGGCCGCCUUCGUGCGUCUCUCUGGCUAAAGGGGCCCGCCGCCCGCGGGCCGUACUGGCGUCUGUCGUGGAUGACGUUGAGGCCAACAUGGCUACAGUGCCGUGCCGGACGGGAGAUGGCUGACCCGUACGGCGUCCUGUGGCCAUGCCUGCUCCGGGAUUCGGGGGUAGUGGGCCGUACUGCGACCACGCCCCGUCUUAUCACCGUUAUGUGGACACAGUCUUGGUGGGUGCAGUCUUGGCCGGCUUCUGGGAGUCGGCGCUCUUCAUGGCCGGCUUCGGGGAGUCGGUCCUCUUGGGGCCGGCUUCCUGGAGUCGGCCACCUCGUAGCUUUCUUGGGGAAGGUUUCUGGGGCUGGGUCGCCUUCUGGGAGUCGGCCCUGGGGAUAGCCGGCCGGGGGAAGGCGGCCCUAUACUUCGUUUGUCGAAGGCUUAAAUGCCCUGAUAUUUUCUUGAGGAGCCAGGGGGAGUCGGUUAGGCUACCCGUGGCCAUUUACUCCGACAAGUUGUAAAGUCCAAGUAUCCGUGUGUCCAAACAUCAAGGGGAAAACCCGAGGAAUCGCCCCCGGUGAAUUCCACUCGAUGUAAUCAUCAAGGUGAACGUAAGAGGAACCACCCCCGAGGUUCACACUUGAGGGGUUGCAUGACAGAGUUGUAUCGGAAGUGGUUAAGGAGGAAAUCACCCUCGAUGACCACGACCGAAUAGCUACACUACAGAGAUCUCAUCAGGAGUGAUGUAUAGAUUCCACCCUCGGCACUCGAUGGUAACUCUGCAGAGUCGAGCAACAAAAGGGGGAAGUGAUGUGCGGUGUCGGGGCCUGGUCUUCGAUCCCGUUGAUCGGGUCUUCGAUGAUGAAGCAGGGGCAACAAGGAGAAGGUGGGGGUCACUGAUGGAUCACUAACCAACCUAUACUAAGCAGUUUAGGAUAAGCAGGUAGGUAACAAUAAGCAGGUUACAAAAGCAGGAUAUGCAUUAGAAUAGGAUCAAUCAAUUACAGUAGCAAAAUCUAAUGCAAGCAUGAGGGAAUGGAAUGGGCGAUAUCGGGAUGAUCAAAGGGGGGCUUGCCUGGUUGCUCUGGCAAGAAGGGGUAAUCGCCGACGUAGUCGAUCACAGUGGCACCAACAGCCUCGGGGUCUACCGGAGAGAAGAGGGGGAAGAAACAAUAAUAUAAAGCAAACAAAGCAUCAUAAAGCAUGACAUGGCGAAAAGCAGAACUAGGGUCGACCUAACGAAGUGCUGCACGAUAAAGGUGAAGGGGGAAUUCAACUGGGAAUGUUUUCCCGGUUCCGGACCUGUGUCAGACAGAUCACCGGAGGGGGAAUGUUCCAUGUUCAGAUAGUUAGAGGCAUCUGACAGGUAAACGGAUCGCAUAUUCGGAUUCGCCUCGUCGUUCUGAGCAACUUUCAUGUAUAAAACUUUUUCAUCCGAGCUACAGAUUGUUUUAUACUAAUUUCUAUAGUUUUAACAAUAUUUUGGAAUUUCUUUAAUUAUUAAAAUUCGAAUUUAGUAAAUAGCUAAACUGCUAUGGGCACACAUAAGUGUACCCAGCGUUGCAACAAAGAAGCUAUCAGGUGCUGAGUCAACUUCUGACUCAGCAUUGACUAUUGACUUGGUCAAAUGGUGAACAGUGUAUGUGUGACCCGCAUAUCAUUCUCACUGGUACAUUUUAACACUGAUUUAGCAUUUAAACAUAGCGGUGGACCCCAUCUGUCAUUGCCACAUAUUGCAUUAGGAUUAUUUUAAACUAGUUAUUUAACAAGGGGGCCAUACGUCAGUGUCUAAGUUAAUCCUAAUUAACCCUAAACACUAAUUAAGUUGGUUGCUAGAUAACGCACAGGGCCAGCAGAGGCCAUCACCAUGGCACAUGCCGGGCACAAGGUGCCGGCGGCCAGGCCCAGCAGCUCACACGGGGGCGGGUGACCGACGCUGCAGGUAAGGCGCAGGGCGAGACCGACAGGGCCGCACGCGCACUAGGGCGCGGCGAGCAAGUAGGAGCAGCAGCGGUGUCAGGGCGGUCACGGGCGGAGCAUGGUGGCAAGGCGGCGGGCAGAGGAGGGUUCGAGGGGAAACGGACAUGGGGGGCUCACCGGCCCUGUAGAUGUGCGAAGGCAUGCUCGGGGAGGGGCCGGAGUUGCGGUUCCGGCGACGGAGCGGCGGGCGGCGAGUGGCGCCGUCGGGGGCCCUUCCAGACCCAGGAAGGUGGAGGGGGACGGGGACGGCGAGGCGGCCUCUGCGAGGUGCGGGUGACCCGAGGAACGGCAGCAAGGGGCGACGGGGUCGGGCAUCGGGUGGCGUUGGGGGCGCCGAAUGCUGGGCGUCAUGGUCCAGCCCCGAUCCAGAUUGAGGGGGCGAGAGGGAGAGGUGGAUCGGGGAAGUGGGGAGAGUGGGGACCGGGCCGAGGGUUUGUCGGUGGUGGUGGUGGGGGGGUUAUGCGGGGAGAGGUGGGCCGGCCGGGAUGGGCUGGCCGACUGGACCGGCCAGUUGGUUAGCUGGGCCGGUACCCUGUGGGGGAGGGGGUCUCUCUCCUUUUCCUUUUAUUUUCUGAUUUCCCUUUUAUUUUUUUUAUUUUUCUUUUAGCAUCCUCCAUUUGCAUUUAAGCCACGAAAUGACUUUGCAAAAAAAUGUGGAGGUGGACAGAACAAAUACUAGGAAAUAUUGAGCGCUGCCACAAGAAGUUUGGGAGGCUUUUGAAAUGUUUUGGAUUUUUUUCAUAAAUUAGAAAAGCAUUUUAUUUAUUGCCUUGGUCACUGUUUUAUUAGUUUAGGGCAUUAAAACAUACUAUUAAAUAUAGGUUUCAACAUGACAAAUAACCAAAGAUUAUUUGCCACACUUCGAACAUUUUAGCUUUCAUGUUUGACAAAUAUGAAUUUUUGACUUUAGAUUGGAUUUGAAUUUGAAUUGAGAUUUGGAUCAAGUGAAGAUUAGCAACAGUAUCAUGAUGACAUUGCACCAUUAACAGGGAUUACUGUAGCAUGACACCGGGGGUGUUACAAAUCUCCUCCACUACAAGAAAUUUCGUCCCGAGAUUUAAUUGGGGAAGUAAAGAGUAACUCCGGGAGAACUGACCCUUAUAGGGUUAAUUAUCUGGUGAACAAUUCAGGGAAUGAGGCGGAAGUAUCUCUCGAGUUGAAACUUAAUAAAACAUCGAGAGCAAAGUAUGAAGGUACCAUGAGAAGUUUUAACGGGCAGGCAAUCAUUCGAUGCCUAAUCAAAAGGUGAAAGGGGUUCAGAGCAACAACAACAACAAAAAUAUUACGUCUGAUACUAGAAUGGAUCACGAGGAAGGUGGCUCAUGAAUUACAUACGAAGGCAAGUGAAAAAGGAUACUUCGGAAUCAAGGAUGUACAGGAGUCAGGCUUCGAUCGUGUGGAACUAUGCAUUAUGGGCCCACCAUGUGGGUUAAAAGCAAGAAGGCGCUAACAUUUUGCAUGGUCAUGAUAGCAAGGCGGGUCAGAGGAUAGCCUGCCAAUUAUGUUGCAACAACGUUGGUACCAAGGGCGAGGGACGAAGAGAACCAUUUUCCUGCUCGUUGCACGAGGCAGACCAUUAGGCAAAGUUCUCGUCCAUCGGUGGCUACCAGAAUGUCGUCAACUAUAGUAACAGGGUCUUGCUGACAGAAUUGUACACCGAGGUGUUUACAUAAGCAGGAGAAUAUUACUGUUUAGAUCAUAUAGACAUCAAGAUAGGUUAAACCAAACAAUGGAAAUGAUAAUAUGGUUAUCAAAUUAAACAGAACAAUGGAAAGGAAAAAUCUGUUUAAACACAUAUUUCAGGGGUAUAUCCUUCCCAAGGACAAACAGAGCAGGAUAUCCAUGGCAGGAUAGAAGUAGAAAACCAUUUAGGUAAGGGAAGAGGAAUUUCAUGACAUUACCCAAACAACAGUGUUUGAAUAAGUGAUCAAGAAACUGUUAGUAUUGCGCCUCCAAUGUUCUUAAUGAAGUUUGGAGUACCACAAUCAAGCUUCGGGAUAGCAUUGACAUGGUGUUUCUAGCAAGAUUGAAUCUGAAGGUCACAAGAAGUACAAAGGAACAAUUCCAAGAAUGUCAAGGAAUGUAAGAUAUAACCAAAACAUGACCAAGUCUGUAUUGGCAGGAAGUCAAGGAUGGUGUCGAUGUCAACACGAAUCAUCGACGGGCAAGGAUGGUAUUUCUCCUCAAGAAUUUGAUUGAUGUCGUAGAACAAGGUAGUAUAUUGAUGGUGAUCACGACAAAUUUUGUCGAGAGGCUCUAUGAAGAUGCCAUCGAGCAGCAACGACAUCAAGCAAAAUGAAUGAUGAAGCAAAGUCUAUUGGAACCAUGGAUACGACACAAGCUCGGAUUCAAGCUUGUUGUUCAAGGUGGAAUGAUAAGAUGAGGAAGAUUGACGUAAGCUUCGCUCAUCGUCGAAAAGUUGUGCUCCAGGAAUAAGGACCAGGUAGCACAGUUAAAAAUUUAGUACGAUAAUGAUAUUAGCCGAUCAGGCUAGGAAUGAUGUGACGGAGUAUCACUCCAAUUAAGAAUUUACAAGAGGUAGUGCAAAGACACAAUAUCCUCGAGAUAACAGGGGGCAAUACUCGAGGUAGAUCAGAAUAGAGGUUGGACAGAUGAAAUGAUCUGCAGAAGACAAGUAUUUUAACUUGUCCGGGAAAUGGAAUCAAGGAGAAAAUAUGACCGGAACCACGAUUGCAAAGAAUCAAUUUACAGAUGCAAGAUGAGCUUAUACCAAGGGAACAUUUGAUUAUAAGAGAAGCUUCCAUGAUAAGGUCUACAUCGUGUCUAUGGGCAUGAACACAAAGUUCAAGGUCGACUCCCACUUCUUCAAUGCAUAACCUUUCAUUUACUCCUCGUUUUCGAAGAAAUUGUAGUGUUGAAAUUAUAUCUGGCAAAACACCAGAAGAGUAUGACUCGUGAAAACUCUCAGGUUCACAUGGAUUAGGAAAGGCAUAGGUUCAACCCAUAGGGGCAUCUUAGGAACCUAUUCCACAAACUUCAGAAGUAAACAACACAAGCUCGAAAGCAGAGCAUGGUUGACAAAAGGAGAGCAUACAAUUACCAAAGGCAUUAUGUAUCUGGGAAAGAACUUCACGAGGUUCUUUGAAUAUGAAGGACACUGUCGAAUGAUAAUCCAAUAAUGGAUCCGGCGAUCCACAACGGAGCUGAUGUGAGUAUCGGUACUCAAUCAGAGGAAGAAAGAAUGCAAGGGCAUCGGAUUAUAGAACAUCUGAAUAAUUUGAUGCUUAGAUAACAAAGGAAUUAUGAUUUCCAAAACGAAAGAUCAGAAGCAUAUGCUCUGAUCAAGGAAGGAUAAAGUUGAAUAGACCAGGGGCACAAUCAACGACAAAUAGAUUGGUCGAGAACCAACUCAUGUUCAAAAUGAUGUCUGAGUCGGAAGGAUGAAUUCUAGGAUUCAACUGAUGAUCACGAACAUUGGCAGCAUAUUGAUUCAAGGGAUUCAAAAUAGUAGUAUUAAGGAAUGUCAACGAGGAUUACUUGACAUAUGGAACUAUCCAUAAUGCCAGCAGGCAUGAAUUUCAAGAGCAAAAAGGGUGCAGAGAAAUUUCGGAAGAUUGAUUAGUAUUUUGAAGACUUUUGUGAAACACAUGAACAACUCGGGAUGAACAAAUCCCCGGUAAGGGUGAGUAAUUAUCCGUAGGGUAUUCAUAAUUGUAACCAGGCGACAAGGAACUGUAAGGCAGUAGGCACAAAGUAUUCUCGGAACAACGAAGAGUAUUUCGGGGCAUCUGGUAAUAACAAGAGCAACUGGGGAUGAAGGUAUGAACGCCAAGGAUAUGUAGUUAUCAAUAGGUAUAUAACAGUGGUAGGGAAUUUGCAAAGGCGGUGGGUACGAGUGUCUCGGGAGAACAUUGUAGAGUAACUUUGAGUCUUCUGGUGAAGCAGACGAUCAUCUGGAAUGAAGGGGCUCUCCGGGAGAAACUAGUUACGAGAACCUAAAGUCAAAGUUAGUAAAAGUUUUAACCCGAAUGGGAGAGAGCUCAGAAUCCCAGAGUAUAGACGAGGAGUAAAAGAUCCUAAUACCACCCAAUGGCGAAGUGGGACCAUAAGCCACACAGCCAAGUUAGUAAAACAGUUUUGGACGACUAGACUCAACUUCGGCCAAGGAGUUGGAAAGUGGGCUACCUACAGGCAGUCGGCUCUGAUACCAACUUGUGACGCCCUCGAUUCAAUCAUACACUAAUCAUACACGCAAACGUGUACGAUCAAGAUCAAGGACUCACGUGAAGAUAUCACAACACAACUCUAGACACAAAAUAAAAUAAUACAAGCUUUAUAUUACAAGCCAUGGGCCUCAAGGGCUCGAAUACAUAAGCUCGAAAACACAAGAGUCAGCGGAAGCAACAUUAUCUGAGUACAGACAUGAGUUAAAAAAGUUUGCCUUAAGAAGGCUAGCACAAAAGCAACAUCGAUCGAAAAGGCAAGGCCUCCUGCCUGGGAGCCUCCUAACUACUCCUGGUCGUCGGCGGUCUCCAUGUAGUAGUAGGCAUCGGCGGUGGCAUCUGGCUCCUGGGCUCCGACAUCUGGUUGCAUCAACCGGAAAGAAGAAGAAAGGGGGAAAAGGGGGAG
rnacentral:lncRNA from 1 species